rnacentral:rRNA from 1 species
GAUGAACGCUGGCGGCGUGCCUAAUACAUGCAAGUCGAGCGAACAGACGAGGAGCUUGCUCCUCUGACGUUAGCGGCGGACGGGUGAGUAACACGUGGAUAACCUACCUAUAAGACUGGGAUAACUUCGGGAAACCGGAGCUAAUACCGGAUAAUAUAUUGAACCGCAUGGUUCAAUAGUGAAAGACGGUUUUUCUGUCACGUAUAGAUGGAUCCGCGCCGCAUUAGCUAGUUGGUAAGGUAACGGCUUACCAAGGGAACGAGGCGUAGCCGACGUGAGAGGGCGAUCGCCCACACGGGAACUGGGACAGCGACCAGACUACUGCGGGAGGGACCAGUCGGGAACGGGAGGCAGUGGUGGAGAGUAUUGCGGAGUAGGGGGGAGUCAGUGACAACGGCGCUGGGAUCGUAAAGCUGGGUUACUAGGUAUAAACCAAUGUGUAAGUAAAUGUGGCGGUAUUGACGGUAACUGAUCAGAAAGCCACGGCUAACUACGUG